UACAGAGAGUGCAAGCGUUAAUCGGAAUUACUGGGCGUAAAGCGCACGUAGGUGGAUGUUUAAGUCGGAUGUGAAAUCCCUGAGCUUAACUUAGGAAUUGCAUUCGAUACUGGGCGUCUAGAGUAUAGUAGAGGGAAGUGGAAUUUCCGGUGUAGCGGUGAAAUGCGUAGAUAUCGGAAGGAACAUCAGUGGCGAAAGCGGCUUCCUGGACUAAUACUGACACUUAGGUGCGAAAGCGUGGGGAGCAAACAGG
rnacentral:rRNA from 1 species